rnacentral:rRNA from 1 species
UACGAAGGGGGCUAGCGUUGCUCGGAAUCACUGGGCGUAAAGGGUGCGUAGGCGGGUCUUUAAGUCAGGGGUGAAAUCCUGGAGCUCAACUCCAGAACUGCCUUUGAUACUGGCGAUCUUGAGUCCGGGAGAGGUGAGUGGAACUGCGAGUGUAGAGGUGAAAUUCGUAGAUAUCGCUUGGAACGCCAACGGUGAAAACAGGUUGCUGGGGGUGUGCUGACGCUGAGACACGAAAGCCAGGGGAGCGAACGGG